rnacentral:lncRNA from 1 species
GCCUCUCUUUUGUCUGCGCCUAACCGGAACGAAUGAGCCGAUAGGUCCAAGGUUUUUUUUUUUUUUGCCUUUUUUGAGUGUUCGCUUAUACAGAAGCAAAGCAGAAGCGAAUCGAAUUUUUUCGGCUGUAUCAUCAUAUAACUUUGCGUAUACACGGAAAAAAUCAUGUUUUACAGCAUCACAUUUCCCACCGAAAAAAAAAAAAGACAAAUUUUUUUAUCAUUUUUCAUCGGCGGUCGUAAAAGAAUGGAAGAGAGAAAGGGAAUUUUAUUUUUUUUUGACAAUCAAUAAGGACUGUGUGCUAUAUAACAAGAGUCUAAGGCUUCACUUCUUCUUCUUGUAUUUUAUGGAUGUUGGAGACCGAAAAAGUGAGAGACACGGUCGUAGAAGGAAAAAAAAAAAAAAUAGCAACUUGUACGAUUUGACUUUUUUAUGUUUCGCACGGCUUCUCUCUGAGACAUUCGGCCCUUUUUUUGUCUUCUGUAACUUGCAUAUCCGCCAAAAAAAGUUUUUUUUGUUUUGUUUUUACCAGAGCGGAUAAGGCAUUCGGGUCAGGUAUAUAGCGGACCUGUUAUAAAACCUUUGAGAGUGGUAGAGUCAAGUCGAAGCGAAGUGACUUUAUCUCUUAGUCAAAGUCAAAUCGUAUCGACUUUAGUUUGGCGCACUUUUCGCUCGCAAAGUUGGCGUGACAUUUCCGCUUUUCGUCUGAUCUCCCGAUAUUUUCCCAAAAGGAAUUCAAAAAGUGCGCAGAAGAGAAAAUCAAAUCAGAGCGGCAAUCGUUCACGCAGCGGACGUCAAGGGCAACGUUUUUUUGUUUGGUUUUUUUAAAACAUUCAGCCAAAGUGUGAAGAACUAAAAAGGAUGGCCGUUAGGCACGCAGCAGAGCAACGUGAAUAUUAUCGAUGUUGUGCUCUCGUUUGCGACUCGUAUCUGCGUCUAUACACGUUAGAGAUAUAGGCAGUGUGCCAAAAAAAUGGGCUGGGUUAUUGGAUGAAAAGGACGAUACACAGACAUGGGAGCGUGAUAAUGCGACUGUAAAAAUAAAUAAAGUUGGUCGAUCGACCAGAACUCCCGGAGCACGUUCCUUUUUUUUUUUUUGAUUUUUCGCUAGUCUCAUUAUGGCCGUGUCUCUACGCACACGUUGGGAAGUGUUGCAUCUCCUCUUUUAAUCUGUUUUUUUUAGCGCAGUUGUAAGUGAAACUCGAUUUCUUUUCCUAGUAGCUCAAAAACAAUUUUCGCUGUCCCUUUGUUUGGGCCUGCAAUCUGCCGACGGUUAAACUUCUACGUACAGCUUUCGGCUUUCAUCAAGUCAACAAGGGCCAUAUCUUCCUUUUUAUUAUUAUUAUUUGCCCGGAUUUUUUUAAAAAAUAUUUUUGGCUGACAUUCGCCAGGCCGCAUCUGUCACGGUUCCUCCUGAACGUUGCAAAUAGUAAACACGGGGCCCAUAUAAGAAGCUGCUGGCCUGUUCCAGGUGUAUGGAGGAAAGGUUUGCCGAUGGAAUCCAAUACUAGCGCACACAUCAACAACAACCUCUGACCGCCGCCAUUCUGCUGUGCUUCAUCUUUAUUAUUAUUAUUUAGAAGAAGGGAGCACACACACAAUCGUCUUCUCCCCCGUCUUCUCCCUACACCGUCGAAGAAAAACAUGUUCUGAUGGCAACAUACGGGAAGAAGAGGGAACCCCUAAAUAACACCAAGGCAACACCUGCCCCCUCAGGGCAAUAGCUUUCCCCCUAACCCCAUUGGACGAUGAACAGAUGGGGACCCCCUUUCAUAUGUACCACCCUCAUACAAAAUAGUUGAUUGGUCACCCCGAUGAUUUGACUUUAUGUCCGACUAUUUUGCAAGACACGGCGAGAGAUGCGUACGACCGUUUGGUAUUUCCAUUCUUCGUGCUCAUUGAUUGAUUGAUUUCAAAUGGAUUUUGUUAGCCUAUUGAAAGGGAGCCAAUGGUUAGCUUACUGAAAUAAUGGAUUCAGUAUACUCUCAGGGCCGGAAGCAACUGUAGAAAGGCCGACUUGUUAACAUUAAGAAGAAGAAGAAGAAACCGCAUAUGUGAAGCGGAGGCGCCCGCCAUUUCCCGUUUUCAAAUGUGUAAUGGACGUUAAUUGACCACCAAAUGUCGCUCAUUAUAUUCAGGCCGUAAAAACGAUACCACCAAUAGCUAUAAUGAAAAUAGAAGCCAUUAGUCUCCGCACUGUCUUUCUUUUCUUAGCACUCUACUAACUAUUAAAUGCAAUAAUAACGGAUUGUCGGCACGCACCUCGCGCUCAACCACUAGACGCUCCAUCCGUGUCUGCGUGAAUCCAAUUGUCAAACGCGUGCGCUCAAUAACGAACCCGACUGGUAGAUGGCCGAUAAUAGUAAAUCGGAAAGAAUACGCGAUAUUUUAUUAGGUCACAAUGUCUUUAUUCCUUCACGUUUCUUUUGUUUUUAUUAUUAUUAUUGUCGUUGUUUUGUUUGUUGUUGUUCGCGGGUCCCUAGCGACCAAAGUGGAAUCUCAUUUCACCUCUUGCGUGGUGUGGAAAUCUCCAGCACGGAUGGCCAUCAGAGAGGGGGGGGAGCUGUAACGCAACGAACUCAAUUUGUCCGGGGAUUGUGCGGAGUUGAUUGGAAAUCACCCGUGGGAAGGAGUUAACCAGCGGAUGGAAAAUAAAACAUAACACACACGCCGGAAUUCUUGGCUAUCCUCAUGCGUGGGGGGGCUUCCAGCGAAAUCUUUCUUUCGUGAUUUCAUUAACUUUGUCUCGUCUAUUUUUCGGAGCAGCUCCAUUAUUUAUAAAUCAACGUACAUGAUGUGCGUCUUGCUGGUGUGGGUUUUGUUGUCAUCGACGUUUGCACUCGUCGCUUCUUUCUAUUUUGUCCAAUCAGCUUGAGAGUAAAAUGUGUGAAGAGCCGUUGGGGUGGGGAUGGAGGUUUUUUCCGUAGAAAUCGAUCGAGCAGAAGAGCGAUAAACAGAUGGAAAGAGAUUAGCCAUUAACCACAGCAACAAGAGCAGCUGUCUAGAUAUCACGGCCACGCCCAUAACGUACAAUGUACCGAGAUGCACUUAAGCAGACCGCCACCAGGUCUGUCGCGAUCGCAAUGCAAUCACAUCAUCCCACGUGAAAUUGCUGCACUAAAAGGAUCGAUCCUCUCCUAAAUGUUGAUGCGUUCAUCACCAUCCAGUGGCACGUGUUUGGAUUUGAAUUAAAUCGUGAUUGUGUUGUUGCAACGAAUAGAAUCAGCAAACAGCGAUUGGAUUGGCGGGUUCACAGCGUGUUACACCGAUGGCCGAUGCAAUAGACAUAGCGCGAGUAUACGUCAAUGGUGGCAGUGCCUUAUGCUUUAGAAUCGAGCGACACGCGUAAAAGCAGAAGGAGCUCUCACGCUGAUGAUUGUAUGAACGUCCCUUUCCGGAUGUGCGCACGCGAGGAAUGAUUGGAAUAAUCCAUCCAAUGUCUAUGCUGGUGGAAAUAGGAAAAGACUUUGACUCCACGUCUACGUUCCGUAUAUCGGAUCGUGACUCAAGUCAAAUGGAAAAGAAAUGCGAUGUGAUUUUUCACGAAGCUGAUUCGCAUUCGGUCACUCGUCUUCUAUUCGCAGUAUUUAUUAUGAGGAUGAAAAGAGAGAAACGGAAGAUGGAUGGUUAAGAGAGUCGCGAUCGAUGUAACCCAAGUCUUGGUCGGGGGGAGAAAAACAAGAGAGACGCCACGGCCUUUCAAUCAAUUCGAGUCAAUCGGCUUGUACUCUUUUUACGUACCCCUUUCAGUUGGGGACGGACUGCUCUGCUUGCCGACUGUUAUGUGUAGUCGGCCAAAGAGGAUUUCUUUUUUAUCCUCAACCUUCUUUGCACUUACAACUACCAAGAACUAUACACGUACGUCUGCUAGUUGAUUUAUAGCUCCGCCCAUUCCCGCUGGAAGUCGACGUGUUCUUUUUCUUUGGCAAUCCGUCGGCAGUAAAGGAUCAUUAUUUCGAUGUCGUACACACGCAAGUGGCAUGUAGAUAUGUGUACAAGAAGACAAACAAAAUUGGAGGAUGGUCUUGUUUAAUAUGGUGGUCCUAUAUACCCGCACAAUAACUUGAUUGCCCCAUCGGCGUGGCUCGCCCCCCACACAUCCGGCCUGCUGGCACUGGGUUUGUAAGUAACGUAUAGACAACAACAGCAACAAAAAAAGAAAAGACUUUCAUAAAGUCGAUUGUUCUCUUCUUUUUUUUUUAUAUAUAUUUUUCUUGCGUUUUUCUUGUUAUUCAAGUGAAACCGCAAAGGGUCCAAAGUCAUCAUUAUCGAAGCUCUAAAAGGGGGGGGAGCGUUUAAAAAGACUUGCGGCGAUUAAAAAAAGAAAACAAAAGAAAAACGUGUCUGGAACACGGGCGAGCAAAAGUGAGGGGUGAAUCAACUUCCAUUUAGCCCUUAAAAAACAAAACACAUUUUAAAAUGUUAUUUCAUUUUUUGUUGUUGCAACGAUUGUGUAUAUAGUCCACGAGAUCAAAUUGCGAAGCACCAACUCGCCAGGCAAAAUAUCAAAGGCUAUUUCAAUGAA